GGCUCAACCAANGUAUGCUUUGGAAACUGUUAGACUUGAGUGCAGAAGGGGAGAGUGGAAUUCCAUGUGUAGCGGUGAAAUGUGUAGAUAUAUGGAGGAACACCGGUGGCGAAAGCGGCUCUCUGNUCUGUCACUGACGCUGAGGCUCGAAAGCGUGGGUAGCGAACAGGAUUAGAUACCCUGGUAGUCCACGCCGUAAACGCUGAGUGCUAGGUGUUAGAUCCUUUCCGGGACUUAGUGCCGACGCUAACGCAUUAAGCACUCCGCCUGGGGAGUACGACCGCAAGGUUGAAACUCAAAGGAAUUGACGGGGGCCCGCACAAGCGGUGGAGCAUGUGGUUUAAUUCGAAGCAACGCGAAGAACCUUACCAGGUCUUGACAUCCCGAUGCCCGCUCUAGAGAUAGAGUUUUACUUUUUGUACAUCGGAGACAGGUGGUGCAUGGUUGUCGUCAGCUCGUGUCGUGAGAUGUUGGGUUAAGUCCCGCAACGAGCGCAACCCUUAUUGUUAGUUGCCAUCAUUAAGUUGGGCACUCUAGCGAGACUGCCGGUAAUAAACCGGAGGAAGGUGGGGAUGAUGUCAAAUCAUCAUGCCCCUUAUGACCUGGGCUACACACGUGCUACAAUGGUUGGUACAACGAGUCGCAAGCCGGUGACGGCAAGCUAAUCUCUGAAAGCCAAUCUCAGUUCGGAUUGUAGGCUGCAACUCGCCUACAUGAAGUCGGAAUCGCUAGUAAUCGCGGAUCAGCACGCCGCGGUGAAUACGUUCCCGGGCCUUGUACAC
rnacentral:rRNA from 1 species